rnacentral:rRNA from 1 species
UACUCCUACGGGAGGCAGCAGUGAGGAAUAUUGGUCAAUGGACGAAAGUCUGAACCAGCCAAGUAGCGUGCAGGAUGACGGCCCUCCGGGUUGUAAACUGCUUUUAGUUGGGAAUAAAAAAAGGGACGUGUCCCUUAUUGUAUGUACCUUCAGAAAAAGGACCGGCUAAUUCCGUGCCAGCAGCCGCGGUAAUACGGAAGGUCCAGGCGUUAUCCGGAUUUAUUGGGUUUAAAGGGAGCGUAGGCGGAUUGUUAAGUCAGCGGUUAAAGGGUGUGGCUCAACCAUACAUUGCCGUUGAAACUGGCGAUCUUGAGUGCAGACAGGGAUGCCGGAAUUCGUGGUGUAGCGGUGAAAUGCUUAGAUAUCACGAAGAACUCCGAUCGCGAAGGCAGGUGUCCGGGCUGCAACUGACGCUGAGGCUCGAAAGUGUGGGUAUCAAACAGGAUUAGAUACCCUGGUAGUCCACACAGUAAACGAUGUAUACUCGCGGUUUGCGAUAGACAGUAAGCCGCCAAGCGAAAGCAUUAAGUAUACCACCUGGGGAGUACGCCGGCAACGGUGAAACUCAAAGGAAUUGACGGA